AAGAUCACAAGAAGAAAAGAAGAUUCAAAACAUUGGAUUCUGGUCAGAAAGUCCACAACAUGAUCCUUGAGCAAGAUCAAACAAGCUUGGCACAGAAGAGAAACAUCCACAAGCAACUAUGAUGUCUGACUGGCAUACAGUUGAGGCGAUGAUCGCCUGUCAUACACCUAAAGAUGAACAGGUUUGUUUGCAAUUAUUUUAAACACAUACUGUCAACAUUAUUUCAUAGAUCUAUUACAACCUGCGAGUUUGGCCCUGGCACUAUACUAAAAAGAUGUUUUGUUUUGUAAAUGUAUCUGAUCAUGGUACAUAAGGCACAACUAUAGUGACAGUGAUGAAGAAAAAUUAUUUUAGACAAGGAGGCUCG